rnacentral:lncRNA from 1 species
GAGGGAGAGAGGGGAAUCUUUUUCCUCCUGGCGCUGGAUGUGGUGCUCUGUUCUGCAUAGUGCGACGCCGGUAUAAAAGCACAAGGUCUGAUAGCGGUCUUAUCUGAAGACUCACCCAGCCCAGACCAGAGAGGAAGAGAGUGAGAAAUGACCAUGGGUGACUACUUACCCUUAAAGGCACACGAUCAACAAGGCUCCUAAUGGACCUUUCCUGCCAUUAGACCCAAGGUCAGUCUGCCUUUAGAGGCACAAAACCUUCAAUUAGUGUUAGGUUGAAAAGUGGUGUAUUUUUAGAUGGUUGUCAUCCACUCUGGUAGGGUGGGAGGAAUGACCAAACUGCAUCAAUCACACAGGGGAUCUGUAAUGUUAGACAUCCACUGUAUACUAUCACUCCAACCACAAAAAAUAACACAGCAAACAAAGGCUUUCCCCCUUGUUCUUUCACUAUCCAUGAGUAUAUAGUAUAUUAAAUGUAUAACUGAUUUAUCUGCAGAAGGAAUAC